rnacentral:rRNA from 1 species
UUCCGGUUGAUCCUGCCGGACCUGACUGCUAUCGGAUUGAUACUAAGCCAUGCGAGUCAUUGUAGCAAUACAAGGCAUACGGCUCAGUAACGCGUAGUCAACCUAACCUAUGGACGGGAAUAACCUCGGGAAACUGAGAAUAAUGCCCGAUAGAACAUUAUGCCUGGAAUGGUUUAUGUUCCAAAUGAUUUAUCGCCGUAGGAUGGGACUGCGGCCUAUCAGUUUGUUGGUGAGGUAAUGGCCCACCAAGACUAUUACAGGUACGGGCUCUGAGAGGAGUAGCCCGGAGAUGGGUACUGAGACACGGACCCAGGCCCUAUGGGGCGCAGCAGGCGAGAAAACUUUGCAAUGUGCGAAAGCACGACAAGGUUAAUCCGAGUGGUUUCUGCUAAAGGAACCUUUUGUCAGUCCUAGAAACACUGAUGAAUAAGGGGUGGGCAAGUUCUGGUGUCAGCCGCCGCGGUAAAACCAGCACCUCAAGUGGUCAGGAUGAUUAUUGGGCCUAAAGCAUCCGUAGCCGGCUCUGUAAGUUUUCGGUUAAAUCUGUACGCUCAACGUACAGGCUGCCGGGAAUACUGCCAAGCUAAGGAGUGGGAGAGGUAGACGGUACUCGGUAGGAAGGGGUAAAAUCCUUUGAUCUAUUGAUGACCACCUGUGGCGAAGGCGGUCUACCAGAACACGUCCGACGGUGAGGGAUGAAAGCUGGGGGAGCAAACCGGAUUAGAUACCCGGGUAGUCCCAGCUGUAAACCAUGCAAACUCAGUGAUGCAUUGGCUUGUGGCCAAUGCAGUGCUGCAGGGAAGCCGUUAAGUUUGCCGCCUGGGAAGUACGUACGCAAGUAUGAAACUUAAAGGAAUUGGCGGGGGAGCACCACAAGGGGUGAAGCCUGCGGUUCAAUUGGAUUCAACGCCGG